GAUGAACGCUAGCGGCAGGCCUAAUACAUGCAAGUCGAACGGUGUCUUCGGACAUAGUGGCGCACGGGUGCGUAACACGUAUGCAACCUACCUUACAUUGGGGGAUAGCCUUUCGAAAGGGAGAUUAAUACCGCAUAAGACAGUAGCUGGGCAUCCAGCAGCUGUUAAAGAUUUAUCGAUGUACGCGGGGCAUGCGUCCAAUUAGCUAGGUGGUGAGGUAACGGCUCACCAAGGCAAUGAUUGGUAGGGGAACUGAGAGGUCAAUCCCCCACACUGGCACUGAGAUACGGGCCAGACUCCUACGGGAGGCAGCAGUAGGGAAUAUUGGGCAAUGGACGCAAGUCUGACCCAGCCAUGCCGCGUGCAGGAUGAAGGCGUUAUGCGUUGUAAACUGCUUUUAUACAGGAAGAAACGACUCUUGCGAGAGGCAUUGACGGUACUGUAUGAAUAAGCACCGGCUAACUACGUGCCAGCCGCCGCGGUAACAC
rnacentral:rRNA from 1 species